UAGUGGGUGGGGGUACAAAAUCAAUGCAGUAUUGCCAAUCCCACCCUGUCCAAAUCAUGAGACAAUCUGUUAAAAAUCAAGAGAUUUGGUCCUGAGUGCUACGCUUCAUACGGUGCUCCUCUCAGGCACAACAGGCAGAAGAGAAGAACACAAGCCUGAGACAGUUGCCUGAAGCCACUUCCAUCUCCAGUAAAAUGCUGGCAACGUCACUGCCAGACUCCUAUUC